rnacentral:rRNA from 1 species
UGGGGAAUAUUGCGCAAUGGCCGAAAGGCUGACGCAGCGACGCCGCGUGGGGGAUGAAGCAUUUCGGUGUGUAAACCCCUGUUGCUCGGGACGAACAAGCGAUUUCGAUCGCUCUGACGGUACCGGGUGAGGAAGCACCGGCUAACUCCGUGCCAGCAGCCGCGGUAAUACGGAGGGUGCGAGCGUUGUCCGGAAUCACUGGGCGUAAAGGGCGCGUAGGCGGUCUGCUAAGCGUGCGGUGAAAGCCCGGGGCUCAACCCCGGGUCUGCCGUGCGAACUGGUGGACUUGAGCACUGUAGAGGCAGGUGGAAUUCCGGGUGUAGCGGUGGAAUGCGUAGAGAUCCGGAAGAACACCGGUGGCGAAGGCGGCCUGCUGGGCAGUUGCUGACGCUGAGGCGCGACAGCGUGGGGAGCAAACAGG